GAUGAAGAACGUAGCGAAAUGCGAUAAGUAAUGUGAAUUGCAGAAUUCAGUGAAUCAUCGAAUCUUUGAACGCACAUUGCGCCCGCCAGUAUUCUGGCGGGCAUGCCUGUCCGAGCGUCAUUUCAACCAUCAAGCCCCGGGCUUGUGUUGGGGACCUGCGUCCGACGCAGGCCCUGAAAACCAGUGGCGGGCUCGCUGUCCACACCGAGCGUAGUAACUAACCUCGCUAUGGAGUGGCGCGGGCGCCUGCCGUAAAACCCCCAAUUUUUACAAGGUUGACCUCGGAUCAGGUAGGAAUACCCGCUGAACUUAAGCAUAUCAAUAAGCGGAGGA
rnacentral:misc_RNA from 1 species